AGCCUGAAUUUGAAGUAGUGUAGAUUAGUCGGAUCGGCUGACCCUACUAAACUACUCUACUUCAAGUUUGUGCCC
rfam:Haemonchus placei strain MHpl1 genome assembly, scaffold: HPLM_scaffold0001905